rnacentral:rRNA from 1 species
GACGAACCGUGCGAACGUUAUUCGGAAUCAUUGGGCUUAAAGAGCGCGUAGGCGGCGGCGUAAGUUGGAAGUGAAAUCCCAUCGGCUCAACCGUGGAAUCGCUCCCAGUACUGCGUUGCUCGAGGGAGAUAGGGGCCUGUGGAACUGCCGGUGGAGCGGUGAAAUGUGUUGAUAUCGGCGGGAACGUCAGUGGCGAAAGCGACAGGCUGGACCUUUUCUGACGCUGAGGCGCGAAAGCUAGGGGAGCAAACGGG